ACUUUGCAAUGUGCGAAAGCACGACAAGGUUAAUCCGAGUGGUUUCUGCUAAAGGAACCUUUUGCCAGUCCUAGAAACACUGGUGAAUAAGGGGUGGGCAAGUUCUGGUGUCAGCCGCCGCGGUAAAACCAGCACCUCAAGUGGUCAGGAUGAUUAUUGGGCCUAAAGCAUCCGUAGCCUGUUUUGUCAGUUUUCGGUUAAAUCCAUAUGCUCAACAUAUGGGCUGCCGGGAAUACUGCAAAGCUAGGGAGUGGGAGAGGUAGACGGUACUCGGUAGGAAGGGGUAAAAUCCUUUGAUCUAUUGAUGACCACCUGUGGCGAAGGCGGUCUACCAGAACACGUCCGACGGUGAGGGAUGAAAGCUGGGGGAGCAAACCGGAUUAGAUACCCGCGUAGU
rnacentral:rRNA from 1 species